GCCACGGUGGUCUAGCGGUCAGAACGCUGGACUUGUAAUCCUGGGGUCUCGGGUUCGAUUCCCGGCGGUGCCC
rfam:Zootermopsis nevadensis contig3545, whole genome shotgun sequence.